UACAGAGGUCUCAAGCGUUGUUCGGAUUCAUUGGGCGUAAAGGGCGCGUAGGCGGCACGGCAAGUCGGGAGUGAAAGCCCGGGGCUCAACCCCGGAGGGUCUUCCGAAACUGCCGGGCUAGAGUGCGGAAGAGGCAACCGGAAUUCCCAGUGUAGCGGUGAAAUGCGUAGAUAUUGGGAAGAACACCGGAGGCGAAGGCGGGUUGCUGGGCCGACACUGACGCUGAGGCGCGAAAGCCAGGGGAGCAAACGGG
rnacentral:rRNA from 1 species